CGGACGGGUGAGUAACGCGUGGGUAACCUGCCUCAUACAGGGGGAUGACAGUUAGAAAUGACUGCUAAUACCGCAUAAGACCACAGCACCGCAUGGUGCAGGGGUAAAAACUCCGGUGGUAUGAGAUGGACCCGCGUCUGAUUAGGUAGUUGGUGGGGUAACGGCCUACCAAGCCGACGAUCAGUAGCCGACCUGAGAGGGUGACCGGCCACAUUGGGACUGAGACACGGCCCAG
rnacentral:rRNA from 1 species